UACGUAGGGUGCAAGCGUUAAUCGGAAUUACUGGGCGUAAAGCGUGCGCAGGCGGUUCGCUAAGACAGAUGUGAAAUCCCCGGGCUUAACCUGGGAACUGCAUUUGUGACUGGCGGGCUAGAGUAUGGCAGAGGGGGGUAGAAUUCCACGUGUAGCAGUGAAAUGCUUAGAGAUGUGGAGGAAUACCGAUGGCGAAGGCAGCCCCCUGGGCCAAUACUGACGCUCAUGCACGAAAGCGUGGGGAGCAAACAGG
rnacentral:rRNA from 1 species